CGAGAGUCAGCUGCGCGUGAGAGCCACCCACUAAUACUCAACUUACCCUCCCUCUCCCUCUAUUUUCAAUAUCUCCAUUAAUAUUUAUUUCUUCAAAAACAUUUAAUGGUGAUUUCUCUCUAUAGAACUCUCUCAAUCUCUCUUCGUUUUGAGAAACCCCUCUAAACACUGGGGGCAAAAGCAGCACCUCAAUAGUCUUUACUGCUAGAGACAGAAAGGAGCGAUGCUAGUUUCUAGUGAGAGAGUGUUUAAUAACAAAGAGAGAGAGAGAGAGAGAGAGAGAGAGAGAGAGAGAGAGGGAUCCUCAUAUCUUUCUUGUUUUUUGUGAGAGAGAGUUGAGUUAUUAUUCUUAGUUUCCUCUAAUCAUCCAUGACAAAAGAGUUUGUAGAGAGAGAGAGAGAGAGAGAGAGAGAGNNN
rnacentral:lncRNA from 1 species